rnacentral:lncRNA from 1 species
AUGAAAUGGCUGGUUUUCAGAUGUGUAUUCUCAUUUUAUGGAAGACAUGUUGCCAGAGGAAAGCACAAUAUAUUCAUCUUGAAAUGUAAUACUGAGAAGAUAUGGAAAUUAUGGAAGUUGUGGCCUUCAGAAUUGACACUUACGGAGAGACUAGAACAGCGUGGAUACCGUGAACACAACAUUCAACUCACAGACACUACGGAGACCUUACUAAGCAUAAGGUACUGUGAAAUGUACUUUGAAAGAUUCAGCAAACUACUCUCACUGUAUCAUCAUAGAGUCAGUGUCUAACCAUGAAGAUCUUUUUGUUCACAAGCUAAAUGCCAUGAAAUGGGAUUCAAAACAAAUGUCCACAGAAAUUUUAUAGCAAUACUGAAGUAGACUAUAUUUUCUGAGCCUUAAUCUAAAAGAAGUUAAAACCAUUCAUCUUUAUGAGGGUUCUGAAAAGUGUUACAGUGUAGUAGAAAAGUUCUGCACUUAAAACCAAAAGACCUAUGAAUCAGGUGUGGGAUCUCACACAAGCCAGUUAUUCACACUGAGUGAAUAUCUUAACUAUCAUGUGAAAAUAAUGUUUUCUUCAUUCCCUGGUAGGUAUUAAAUGUGAAAACUUAUGAAAGCGAGACGAUAAAAUAUGAUUUGUUACUACUAUUAUGGCAAUCAACAUAUAAAACAUACUCUUUCUCUCUCUCUAUAUAUAAAUAAAUAAUAUAUAGAAUAGGAGAAAAGUUGGAUCCCCAAACAUGGCAAUGUGAUUAUUAGAUGCAUCUUUCCUCAUAGUCUUCUAUCAUAUCUAACAAGUGGCCUAAUGGUAAACUCUGCUUCUCAACCAAAAAGAAAGCAAUCUACAUUUCAAGGUUGUACUUUACCUUAUCAUAAAUUCCUCAAACUUUUAACUGGUAAGGUUAAGGCUGGACCGGUAUGUAUCUGCCACAGGUUUGUGCUCUGGAGGACCGAGUAUACAAGAAGUGUUGCCAUUUAUCAAAAGGUCAUCUUCCAACAGCUUUAUGAUCCCUAGAUAUAGCAAACUACUUAGAAAAAAGCAGCAGUUCACAUUUAGCAGUACACAUUUCUUUAACUUGUA